CAGCCACACGAUAGUAACAAGAAUUUGGACGCAAUAGGUGAAAUACUGAAAGCCGGGCUUCUUGUUAAUUGAAGCAGAGGGUACUUGAAGAGUUGGAUAAGGUUUUCCCUAGCAGAGACCAUAGUCUUUCCUCAACCUGCCGCUAGAUGGUGCUGCUGUUCUGGAUGCAUUCCAGUGGACAAGGCUUGGCACAUUUUUUGUUGGGGAACAUGUGCAUGUGUGGAGAUCAGAAGACAGCUUGAGAGUUGGUUCCUUCCUUUUGCUCUGUGGGUUCUCGGAAUCAAACCCAGGAGUUCUAGGGUUCUCUUGGCCCCAGCCCCACAGUUCCUGGUUGGUGCCCCUCCCACAGUGCCGUUAUUUAAAAUAGUGCUUACCCUUGGAGGUAAUGUUAACUGGAACAAGAUGCAGGACUGAGUGCUUCUCUAAGGAAAGAAGGAGGAAACAGCAGUGUUGACCUGCCCUGGAGUCCACCCUCACCUCAGCCCUGCUCCGCAUCCCUCGUGCUCCUGGGUCACCGCCAACCGCACCGAAACCCCAGGGCUCACUCACUCUUGUGCUUCUGGGCAUGUCCAACCUGC
ensembl:antisense Tnfsf13os tumor necrosis factor (ligand) superfamily, member 13, opposite strand